UACGUAGGGGGCAAGCGUUGUCCGGAUUUAUUGGGCGUAAAGAGCGUGUAGGCGGCCAUACAGGUCAGCUGUGAAAACUCGAGGCUCAACCUCGAGACGUCGGUUGAAACCGUAUGGCUAGAGUCCGGAAGAGGAGAGUGGAAUUCCCGGUGUAGCGGUGAAAUGCGCAGAUAUCGGGAAGAACACCCGUGGCGAAGGCGGCUCUCUGGGACGGUACUGACGCUGAGGCGCGAAAGCUAGGGUAGCAAACGGGG
rnacentral:rRNA from 1 species